UACGUAGGGUGCAAGCGUUAAUCGGAAUUACUGGGCGUAAAGCGUGCGCAGGCGGUUGUGCAAGACAGAUGUGAAAUCCCCGGGCUCAACCUGGGAAUUGCAUUUGUGACUGCACGGCUAGAGUGUGUCAGAGGGGGGUAGAAUUCCACGUGUGAGCAGUGAAAUGCGUAGAGAUGUGGAGGAAUACCGAUGGCGAAGGCAGCCCCUGGGAUAACACUGACGCCUGCAUAG
rnacentral:rRNA from 1 species